CUGCCAAGAACCAUCCUGCAUUCUCAUUGCUGGCCUUGUUUAAAGGACUCUUUUUAUUCUUUUUUUUUCUUUUCUUUUUUCAUUUCUAACUAUUUCCGGCACACAUUGUAGCCACAGCCCAACAUCUUGGCCUUGCACAUCGCAUUUCUUGCCGUGAGGCUGUACGUGGCACCUGUAGGAAGCACGCCUCUGAGCUGUCAAUUCUGGACCCUGGGACUUCUUUAACUCGAGUGUUUCCGCUUGUUUGUGAUUCUGCUUUUGACUUUCUUUCUUUCUCUUCUCCAGUUUAUAAUUGAUCUUUUUUCCCCCGUUAUUCAUUCACCGCCUGUCCUGAAUGGGUUCGUGGCAAGUCCAAGUUCGAGGAAUCUGGACCCAGGGCAUCGAAUCACUCGCCUCAAUGCCCGACGGUUAGUUAGAGAUUUAAAACAAGGAUCAGAUAUUAAAUCUAAAAAGAGAAAAUUUGGCUUUAAAAAUAUCAAGAUGUCCUGUGUGACUGGAUUUCAAGGAUUAUACACAAGCCUCGAUAUCCCCGUGAGAAAAAAACUGACAGGGUCAGCAAAGCGAGAAGAGGACAAGGACAUACUCAAAUGAUGAUGGGCAGAAGAGGCGACAAAAGCCAGGCGGAGGAGGGAACGAGGCGGUGGUGCAAACGCGAUAUUUCCAUCUGCUCUGCCACGUUCUUGACAACGACGGCUACUUGUUGGAACGAUUUCAAUAUUUCGUCAGACGCUUCAUUGUGCUCCUGGUGCCAUUUCGCCAUUUGAUCUCGCCUUGUCGAGGCGUCCAAUCGCAGAUCUCCCAUGCUGCGAGUUCUCUUUGGUGAUAAUAUACCCUUGUUAUGAUAGUUUCUGGCCCCAUUUUGGCAUUUGGUUCUAGCCUCACUGUUGUGAAUUCGCGGGCAUUUUCGAAUCAGGCUGAAGGCUUAUUCAAAUGCAUCUACACCUAUCUUUGAUUUUCUGUUCGUUUUGAGAUGCUAUACAAGCGGGCCCACUUGCUUCGUGGACUUCCUCUGCAGUGACGAUUUCGGUUGAUUGUCUCUGUAGGCCGAUACGAAGGUGGUGGAAUGAAAUAAUAGUUUUCCUUGAAACAUAUUUUUUGUUGCUUUGAAUACAUUUGCCAUUCUUACCCUGAAUGGGGUUUCGACUGGAUAAUUGGAAGUAAAAUGACCUUCUCUUUGAGAUCAUUUUUUACUUUUAUUUUAAGUCGUGAUUCUGAACGAUGACAACGGGC
rnacentral:sRNA from 1 species